rnacentral:rRNA from 1 species
GACGAACGCUGGCGGCGUGCUUAACACAUGCAAGUCGAACGGAAAGGCCCUGAUUUUGGGGUGUACUCAUGUUACGAACGGGCGAGUAACACGUGCGUAACCAACCUGUGACUUUGGGGGAACUUACAGAAAGUGAGGCCAACACAUGAUAGAAGCUACUGAAGCACGGCGUGGGUGGGAAAGUAUCGGCGGUUGGGGAUGGUCUCGCGGCUCAUCAGCUUGUGGGUGGGGUAGUGGCUUACCAAGGCUUUGACGGGUCGCCGGUCUGAGAGGGUGACCGGCCACAUUGCGACUGAGAUACGCCGCAGACUCCUACGGGAGGCAGCAGUGGGGAAUAUUGCACAAUGGCCGGAAGCCUGAUGCAGCAACGCCGCGUGCGGGAUGACUGCCUUCGGGUUGAAAACCGUUUUCGCCUGUGACGAAGCGUGAGUGACGGUAAGGGUAAAGAAGCACCGGCUAAUUACGU